rnacentral:rRNA from 1 species
GACGGGGGAUGCAAGUGUUAUCCGGAAUCACUGGGCGUAAGCGUCUGUAGGUGUCAAAUAAGUCAACUGUUAAAUCUUGAGGCUCAACCUCAAAAUCGCAGUCGAAACUAUUAGACUAGAGUAUAGUAGGGGUAAAGGGAAUUUCCAGUGGAGCGGUGGAAAUGACGUAGAUAUUGGAAAGAACACCGAUGGCGAAGGCACUUUACUGGGCUAUUACUAACACUCAGAGACGAAAGCUAGGGU